GCAUAUCAAUAAGCGGAGGAAAAGAAACCAACAGGGAUUGCCUUAGUAACGGCGAGUGAAGCGGCAAAAGCUCAAAUUUGAAAUCGGCCUCCAGGUCGAGUUGUAAUUUGUAGAUUGUAUCUUGAGAGCGGAUUAAAGUCUGUUGGAACACAGCGCCUUAGAGGGUGACAGCCCCGUAAAAUCUAUUCUCAUUGUAAGAUACUUUCGAAGAGUCGAGUUGUUUGGGAAUGCAGCUCUAAGUGGGAGGUAAAUUCCUUCUAAAGCUAAAUAUUGACGAGAGACCGAUAGCGAACAAGUACUGUGAAGGAAAGAUGAAAAGCACUUUGAAAAGAGAGUGAAAAAGUACGUGAAAUUGUUAAAAGGGAAGGGUAUUGAAUCAGACUUGGUGCUGUUGUUCAACUGUGUUUUGGCACAGUGUACUCAGCAGUACUAGGCCAAGGUGGGGUGUUUGGGAGUGAAAAAGAAGUUGGAACGUAACUCUUCGGAGUGUUAUAGCCUACUUUCAUAGCUCCUCAGGCGCCUCAGGACUGCGCUUCGGCAAGGACCUUGGCGUAAUGAUUCUAUACCGCCCGUCUUGAAACACGGACC
rnacentral:rRNA from 1 species